AACGCACCUUGCGCUCCUUGGUAUUCCGAGGAGCAUGCCUGUUUGAGUGUCAUUAAAUUCUCAAUUUUUGCCGUUCUCUCUUGAGUGACAGUAAAGUAUUGGAUGUGGGGGGUUGUGCUGGCUCCAUUUGCAGAGUCAGCUCCCCUGAAAUGCAUUAGCAGUGCCCCUGUAUGGACUCUGAUUAUCAGUGUGAUAAAACUAUCUACGCUGCUGUGCAGACCAUGCUCUCUUGGGGUUGUGCUGCUUCUAAUCGUCCCGUUGUGGGACAACAAAUGACAAUCUGGCCUCAAAUCAGGUAGGACUACCCGCUGAACUUAA
rnacentral:misc_RNA from 1 species